rnacentral:rRNA from 1 species
GAUGAACGCUGGCGGCGUGCCUAAUACAUGCAAGUCGAGCGAACGGACGAGAAGCUUGCUUCUCUGAUGUUAGCGGCGGACGGGUGAGUAACACGUGGAUAACCUACCUAUAAGACUGGGAUAACUUCGGGAAACCGGAGCUAAUACCGGAUGAUAUUUUGAACCGCAUGGUUCAAAAGUGAAAGACGGUCUUGCUGUCACUUAUAGAUGGAUCCGCGCUGCAUUAGCUAGUUGGUAAGGUAACGGCUUACCAAGGCAACGAUGCAUAGCCGACCUGAGAGGGUGAUGGGCCACACUGGGACUGAGACACGGUCCAGGCUCCUACGGGAGGCAGCAGUAGGGAAUCUUCCGCAAUGGGCGAAAGCCUGACGGAGCAGCGCCGCGUGAGUGAUGAAGGUCUUCGGAUCGUAGAACUCUGUUAUUAGGGAAGAACAUAUGUGUAAGUAACUGUGCACAUCUUGACGGUACCUAAUCAGAAAGCCACGGCUAACUACGUG